CCUGAGAAACCCAAAAGAUCGAAUGGGGAGAUUCAUCGUCAGCGGUCCUUGGUACGUGUGCGGCUCGCGAUGCCGGAGAUUUCGGUCUCCUGGCACGCGUCCGUAUGUUUUUUAUUGCCUCGAUCGUCGGCGUGCACUUCUCCCCUAGUAGGACGUCGCGACCCGUUGGGUGUCGGUCUACGGCCCGGGCGGUAGCCUGUCUCGUGUUCGCUUCGCGGCGUUACGCGGUUCAGACCCCCGGUCGCCCGACCGGCUGCUCGGCGGUACUCGCACGGUAUCUGGCCGCAAAUAUUCGAACUGCGUCCGGCCCGUCGCAAGCGAGGCAAGUGUUUCCCGGUUGUACGGAUCUAAUGCCGUCACCGGGCCUUGCCAGCUGUUGGUUGACGGUGUCCUAGGACUGGCUAAUACAAUUAUGAUACCGGUCGGCGACGCUACUGCUUUGGGUACUUUCAGGACCCGUCUUGAAACACGGACCAAGGAGUCUAACAUGUGCGCGAGUCAUUGGGAACUAUUAAGCCUAAAGGCGCAAUGAAAGUGAAGGUCGGCCUUGCGCCGACCGAGGGAGGAUGGGCCGCGUCACGAUG
rnacentral:rRNA from 1 species